rnacentral:rRNA from 1 species
GAUGAACGCUGGCGGCGUGCCUAAUACAUGCAAGUCGAGCGAACAGACGAGGAGCUUGCUCCUCUGACGUUAGCGGCGGACGGGUGAGUAACACGUGGAUAACCUACCUAUAAGACUGGGAUAACUUCGGGAAACCGGAGCUAAUACCGGAUAAUAUAUUGAACCGCAUGGUUCAAUAGUGAAAGACGGUUUUGCUGUCACUUAUAGAUGGAUCCGCGCCGCAUUAGCUAGUUGGUAAGGUAACGGCUUACCAAGGCAACGAUGCGUAGCCGACCUGAGAGGGUGAUCGGCCACACUGGAACUGAGACACGGUCCAGACUCCUACGGGAGGCAGCAGUAGGGAAUCUUCCGCAAUGGGCGAAAGCUUGACGGAGCAACGCCGCGUGAGUGAUGAAGGUCUUCGGAUCGUAAAACUCUGUUAUUAGUGAAGAACAAAUGUGUAAGUAACUAUGCACGUCUUGACGGUACCUAAUCAGAAAGCCACGGCUAGCUACGUG